CAAACGUUGUGACAAUCGCGCUAAACUCUCGAACUUCGUGGUCGUAGUCACACGUCGGGUCCAUGCAUUGGAAACUGGCGACGGUCAAAGUCCUAACGUCUACAGUCCGGGACCAUGAGUUGUUAGAGACUUUCGGUUGUCUCGGUUCAUGCAUCAGACCCCAGCAGGCGAGGUAGUGUGGGAUUUGAGAACUGGAAUAAGCCACGAACACGUUCUCGCGUCGCCGAAACCUGUAGGAACACGUUCCCUACACCUAAACAUAAUUUCGAAUACACGCGAGUGUUUCGGGCAACAUGACAAGGCAAUCGUUAAAGGAAUUUUGUUACCAGCUACCUAAAGUGGAGCUGCACACUCACCUGAACACAAGCUUCAGUGACAAAACUCUACAGGAACUGGUGGACAGGAAGGCAAAGCUUGAUGAUAAUUCAGAGUAUCGCAGCUGGAAAUUGACUUUUACGGAAAACGACAAUUGUCCUAUUGAUGAAUCUUUCACUCUCUUUACAUUUCUUCACAAAAUUUUCAAUGAUGAAUAUUCCAUUUAUAAGCUGACAUACGACAUAAUUCAUGAGUAUGCUGCGGAUAACGUCAAGUACUUGGAGCUGCGGUCCACGCCAAAAGACGUCCCGGAGACGGGGCUGACGUGGCCGGUGUACGUCGACACGAUGCUGCGUGCCGUCAGGGACUGCCGGGCCGAGGAGGUCGACAUCGUUGUGCGGAUCUUGAUCUCCAUCGACCGCAGGAAGGGCGUCGACGUGGCGAGGCAGACAGUGAGUCUGGCUGACAGAUAUCUACAUGAUUCAGACGGGAUUGUUGUCGGAAUUGACUUCAGUGGAGACCCUCAGGUUGGAGAUGCCACAGACUAUAUCCCAGUGUUCCAGAGUGCUCACGAAAAGGGCUUGAAGCUUGCUCUACACUUAGCCGAGAUCCCUAAUUUUGAAGAAACUUUAAAUGUUCUGAAACAGUGUCACUGCGAUCGAAUUGGUCACGGCACCUGUUUAAACCAACCCAGUCCAGGAGAUGGGCGUAAAGAACUGGAGGAAAUUGUUUUACAGAAGAAAAUACCUAUAGAUAAAGGUAUGAAACCAGUUUCAGUGUAUAAUAACUGUUGAGAUGUUCCCCGAAAAGAACCGCAAAUUCUAACUGAAUAUUUUCAAGAGAUUGAGCCUGCUGAAGGAAGCCUGUAUGACGUCCAAUGUGAAGACGAAGACAGUGAGGGAUUACGAGUCGCACCAUCUCGAUUUCUGGUACAAGAGAAACCAUCCUGUUGUUCUUUGU
rnacentral:misc_RNA from 1 species